UACGUAGGCAGCGAGCGUUUGUUCGGAGUUACUGGGCGUAAAGGGUGUGUAGGCGGUUCGGUAAGUCUGGUGUGAAAUCUCCCGGCUCAACUGGGAGGGUGCGCCGGAAACUGCCAAACUAGAGUGCGGGAGAGGAAAGUGGAAUUCCUGGUGUAGCGGUGAAAUGCGUAGAUAUCAGGAGGAACACCGGUGGUGUAGACGGCUUUCUGGACCGUAACUGACGCUGAAACACGAAAGCGUGGGUAGCAAACAGG
rnacentral:rRNA from 1 species